rnacentral:rRNA from 1 species
CCUACGGGAGGCUGCAGUGGGGAAUAUUGGACAAUGGGCGAAAGCCUGAUCCAGCCAUGCCGCGUGUGUGAAGAAGGCCUUCGGGUUGUAAAGCACUUUCAGUGGGGAAGAAAGCCUUGGGGCUAAUACCCUCGAGGAAGGACAUCACCCACAGAAGAAGCACCGGCUAACUCCGUGUCAGCAGCCGCGGUAAUACGGAGGGUGCGAGCGUUAAUCGGAAUUACUGGGCGUAAAGCGCGCGUAGGCGGUCUGAUAAGCCGGUUGUGAAAGCCCCGGGCUCAACCUGGGAACGGCAUCCGGAACUGUCAGGCUAGAGUGCAGGAGAGGAAGGUAGAAUUCCCGGUGUAGCGGUGAAAUGCGUAGAGAUCGGGAGGAAUACCAGUGGCGAAGGCGGCCUUCUGGACUGACACUGACGCUGAGGUGCGAAAGCGUGGGUAGCAAACAGGAUUAGAUACCCCUGUAGUC